CAGUGUAUUCAGAAUAUCCAACAUAGAGGUGAAUUAAAGAAGUCACAAAUCAAAGAAGAUGGCGGCUGUGACACUGGGGUCUGUCUUAUUUCCAUGCCAUCCACAAAGACCUUGACAGAGGGAAGAAGAAAGGUACUUCUACCUUGGGCAGCUCUGCCAAACGCACCCUGAAGACCCCACACCCUGCUCCCUCUAAUUGCGCUGUCGUUGUCUUGCAGCAUGAACUGUUCCAGCUAUCUGUUUUCUUUCAAAGUAUAUUUGUUUUAUAUCUGACAUGUUUAUAUAUGUUAACUGUUUGCUAUAGAUAUCUGUCAGCUUCAGUGGGUAAAACCAAAAAAAAAGAAAAAAAGAAAAGAAAAAAGGAAAGAAAAAGAAAAAAGAGAGAUUGGCUCUAUGCCAAAGGUAUGUUUCUUAAAAGCACUUAGCUUCUUGUCACAUGAUUAUGCAUAAAAAGAGAAAGGAGAGGAGGGAGGGUGGACUGACAAGGAGUAUUGUGUUUUGAGUACUGCGAAAAAAUUUCAUACAAAAAUGUACCAGGCUUUUCAGAUAUCAGCCUAAGAGCCAUAAAAAGUUGUUUUAUAGUCCUAGGAACGAUACACAAACAUGGGUAUACUGUUUGUCAUAAAAGCUGCUCUAAAGAGGGGAUCGCGCAUUAUGAUUCUCAAAAUAUGACAUUUAUGAGCUGCCUUUGAUUGUUACCAGAAUGUUUUUUAAUGAAAUUGAAAAUGUGUGUGUGUGUGUGCAUGUAUGUGUGUGUGCAAUAAGGGUAUGUGUCACUGAGAAAGAGACAUCCUCUAAAAAAUUAUUCUUCACCCAAGCGAGAGGUUUUCAUUUUUCUCCCUUUCAAAAAACAGAGUACAGCCCUCCUGAAAGGAAAAGAAAAAGGCAGAAGCAACAGUUUCUUCAUAUUUUGAGAGAAAUAUGUGCAACUUCCUGGGACCUUUUUCCUUUUGUUUUCAUUUCGAGCAAGAGUAUGCGUUGGAGCUGUGCAGUAUCCUCUUUCCUUUCAGAUACAGCUGCACUCUUCUGGAUGAAGGUGGAGAUAUGUGAAUCUGUUCCCAUGCCAAAGUCAUUUGCUAAAUUGUCUCUUAUGCUUUAAAAGGGCUCAAAUUGGAAUUACAUGGCACUUGCACCUUCUGCUGUUCCAUACCCAUGGUGCCUAAAUGCUGACAGCAACGGCAUUCAUUGCCUUCUUGACAUUUCUUACCGUGUGAGGUGAACAAACUCGCCAGGAUGAGACACAUUUCUCAUUUUGUAUUCAACCACUCCACCAUUCUCCCUGUCCAAAAGCCAUGUGGGAGUUGGAUCAUGGCUUGUUCUAUCCACUCUGCUCCACUCUUACUUUUGAACAGAUCUGAAGAUUGUUGGAAGAGGUGGUGGAUGCCCUAUCCUUGAGGACACUCAAGGUCAAGCUUGAUGGAGUUCUGAGCACCCGAUCAAGCUGUAGGUGUCUCUACUCAUUGUAAGAGAGUUGGAUUAGAUGGUCUUAUAGGGGCCCCUUCCAACUCUCUUUCUAUGAGAGCUAGGAUGCCCUUCAUCAUUUUCUGGAGCAAGCUGGUUUUCACAUCUUGUUUUACUGCAUGAGACUGCUCCUCACAGGACAGCAAGCAAGCAAGCCUGGGAAGACUCAAACCUCUUUCAUUUAUAAUCAGAACACAGCUGAGCCCAAGCUAACGACCCAAAAUGAAAUACAAAUUGAUACAGGUUGGGCACAGAACCAUAAAAAUGCAGCCUUGCAGCAUCUGACCCAUUAGCACUGAGCUUGAGCUCAAUUGGUGCUUGAGCUGAAAUUGGACCCGGUUGAAAGAAAUGAUGGAAGACCUAUGCCUGCAGUUAUAGUGUGAAGGAUCCAGAUGCCUGGGAUCUGUUUGUGCCUGUUAUUUGCAGCACAGUGAUUUAUUAGCAGAACUCUGGACACAGACCAUACUGGGCAACUCUUUCUUAGAUCUUGGGCUACAGAUAGCUGGGAAAGCAGACAGACUGUUUGCAAGGAAAUCAAAAGCACUUUGAGUCUUAACUGCUGCAUGAUUCAUCUCACAAACUGAAUUCAGUACAGCAAACUGUUGCCCUGCAGACAAAUUUCAUACAAAAUGACUGUAUAAAGCACCAAUGUUUAUAUGCUAGGCUGAUGUGGGUUGAAGGCUGUUUAAAAUGGCUGUGGAUAGUUAUGUAAUUAUUUGAGAACAGUAGG
ensembl:lncRNA